AAAGAAACAAGGUCGACAAAGAACUCAGGCGUCCUGUUGCAAAGUCGACAUGAGCACGUCCUGUGCG
rfam:Virgibacillus necropolis strain LMG 19488 chromosome, complete genome.